rnacentral:rRNA from 1 species
UACCAGCACCCCGAGUGGUCGGGACGUUUAUUGGGCCUAAAGCAUCCGUAGCCGGUUCUACAAGUCUUCCGUUAAAUCCACCUGCUUAACAGAUGGGCUGCGGAGGAUACUAUAAGACUAGGAGGCAGGAGAGGCAAGCGGUACUCAGUGGGUAGGGUAAAUCCGUUGAUCCAUUGAAGACCACCAGUGGCGAAGGCGGCUUGCCAGAAUGCGCUCGACGUGAGGAUGAAAGCUGGGGAGCAACCGG